ensembl:lncRNA
CUCUGAGUAAUAUUUAUUACAAAAACCUGCUGGAUCCCUUUGGAAAUCUGGAUCUUUAAGAGCUGAGAACACACAUGUGACUUCUUCCCCUUGCCAAAUCAAAUAUGAAAACCAUACGGGGCAGCCAGAGUCCACUGGAUGCCAGGAAUGGGGGGUGCUUUGCUGAUUCUUCGCCUGCUGACUUGUUAACUCCUGAUGCUACCAGCUGCAAAGAUGGACGGUCUGCACCUUGUUGGCUUGAGCAAGGAUCUCACGGGAAAAAAGAUAUUUUAGCUAAGAAAAAAGUCUAUCAAAGAUGGACUGACUGGUAAAACAAACCUCUGUAAUUAGCAGGUUCUUAGAGCUAAUGAUAGAGAGACCAAGCCCUAAAUUAGAGGCUAUACAAUCCAAAGGUCACUUGAUCAGCUAUUUGACAGGAUUAUGUCUCUUCAUGCACCUCCUGAUUGCAGCUAUAGUUGAGUCUCUUAAACUUUUAGUCAUCUGCUUCCUGACUCAGGGCAGCUGCUGCUAUGGCUAACACUGAAGCAGAUAUGGCUGAACGAGGUCUAUCUGCAAUAGGCCGGAACUAGCAAGUCAGGUUUUCCUGCGUAAACCUUUACAGAGUCCUUGUAUAUCAGCACAGUGAGCAGCAGAGCCUAGCAGAAAGGUGCCAAACAAGAGUGAUGUGUUCGUGAUAUGUCAUAACAGAAAGCAGGAAGUUCAGGUAGGCAUGCAAGGACAAUCAGCGCCUCUGCUCAGAAAGUGUGUGGCUUGGUUGUGGAGAGCACCCUUGCUGUGAUAUCAUAGCAGUCUGCAUCAACAGCUGAUAAGAAGAGAAUUGGUGCAGACUCUUACGGAAGACCUUCUGCCGCCACACUACAUGUACCAUGUGAACCAAGAGCCAUAUUUCAGAUGAAUUGCAGAGCUAAUGCAAGUGGCUGUGGUCAAGAGAACCGUCCAACUCAGAGGAUCACAGUGCUGUUUUGAUCUUGAUGGGUGUCCUGACGGAGCCACCAGCCACAUCAGGCUCACAGUCUGCCUGGUUCCAGGCAGCUCUGGGAGAUGUCCCUGUCUCCUCCUCAGCCCUCCUGACCAGCGAAUACCCUUUGAGUUGAACAAGGUCAGGCUUUCUUGUUCUAUAGCAAUUCACCGGUUACCCUAACCAAAGCUAAGAAGAAAUGUCCUCCUGUAAAAAUUGAGUGUUUGUUCCAAACUGAGGAGGGAUGGACAGACAUAUAGACACAAAUAUUUAAAUCCUCUUCAGCAUGGAGUUUCCUCUCCUUGCCCAGCUGUACUCCCAAGGAGUGCAACAGGCUGCUGUGCAAAUCUGAAAUUGGUACUUCAUGUGAGUCAAAAUCUCUGUUCAGCUUUGAUGUCCAAUCUCUUUGGGCUUUUUUAUUUUCAUUUCCAGAGAUGUCUGGAUCUCACAGAACCCACAGGCAAUGAGGAAUCUCCUUGUUAUGCCAUAUUAACUUUUAUUUGUAUCUGGUCAUUAAUUACACGGGGGAUGCAAUAAGCCACAGUCUGUUCCAACCUUGGCAUACACUACUUUUACGUUGAGAUGACAACAAAUCCCAACAUGGGAGUGCUUUCUCAUCCUUCUCACCCCAACUCCCCAAGGCAACCUUUUAGAUUCUGCAAAUAUUUUGCUUGCAUUCUCCGUUUCAGCAUUUCUCCCUAGAUACGUCCCCAAAUAUUUUGAAAAUUCCAGUGUCCCUGGCAAUGACCUCUACCUUUGUGAGUUGUUUUUGUGAACAUAACCAAGGCAGACCUGACCUGAUCAAUGCAUGGAUGUGGAGCUUUCAAGGAAAAUAAAGUGUGGAACAACCCUACUAUGGGUAUGUAG